rnacentral:rRNA from 1 species
UAGGGAAUCUUCGGCAAUGGGGGCAACCCUGACCGAGCAACGCCGCGUGAGUGAAGAAGGUUUUCGGAUCGUAAAGCUCUGUUGUAAGUCAAGAACGAGUGUGAGAGUGGAAAGUUCACACUGUGACGGUAGCUUACCAGAAAGGGACGGCUAACUACGUGCCAGCAGCCGCGGUAAUACGUAGGUCCCGAGCGUUGUCCGGAUUUAUUGGGCGUAAAGCGAGCGCAGGCGGUUUGAUAAGUCUGAAGUUAAAGGCUGUGGCUCAACCAUAGUUCGCUUUGGAAACUGUCAAACUUGAGUGCAGAAGGGGAGAGUGGAAUUCCAUGUGUAGCGGUGAAAUGCGUAGAUAUAUGGAGGAACACCGGUGGCGAAAGCGGCUCUCUGGUCUGUAACUGACGCUGAGGCUCGAAAGCGUGGGGAGCGAACAGGAUUAGAUACCCUGGUAGUCCACGCCGUAACGAUGAGUGCUAGGUGUUGGAUCCUUUCCGGGAUUCAGUGCGGCAGCUAACGCAUUAAGCACUCCGCCUGGGGAGUACGACCGCAAGGUU